CAUCCUGACAUUUCCAAUAUUUUUCUGUAUUUUUACAUGUCAGGGCUUCUUCCCCCCUCGGGGAGUGUGGCUUCUUCUCUAAUUGGCUCCUCUAUGUCUAUAUUCACCUUUGAGGAAGAACAGUUAAAUCACAGAAAGGAUUAUCAUAAAAGAGAUAGCUUCUGUCGCAUACUGUUGCUGCCAUGAAAUCUCUAAACAAUGAAUUCAGCUCAUCUUGGACAAAAACAUUCAAAGUCAUGAGGCAAUAUUACUUUGAAUUGCUUCUCUAGGUUAUCUGCCCUAGCAACAAAAGAUAUGAAUAAAAUAUUGUGUUUUCCCAGA